CUUUUCUCUCCUAUAAGUAGCACAACUUCAUAUCGAUAUUAGGUGUAGUGAAGAGAAGGCUGCAAGUGAAACAUUUCACCAUUUGGCCAGGCAAGGAGAAAAAAUGCAAAUGAAGAUUAUUGGGUUGCUGGUCAUCGGGAUUGUUGUCAUCAAUUCGUGUACAUGUAUUCCAAAUAAGAUAGAUGAGGACAGAGUGCACAAGGAUGUGCCUGGAAAGGAGGUGCGCAAACUCACAAAUACUGAUGGAAGGGCUGCCUCCACUGGUGAUGCCAUAGAUCACGUGUGUCCACUUGGGAGCUAUCCUUGCCGGUAGAUGAUCCAGAUUUCUCAGGAUACUACACAGGGUGUUGGUGGACAUUGGCAGUGUACCAAGAAUAAGAAGAUGAAGUGUUAGUGUAACGUUUUGUAUGUCCGAAAAAGGGUUUGCUCUGUGUUCAUAUCAUAAUUUCUACUAUCUGUAGCUGGGUUUGUCGCCGCAUGAUGUAUCAGAAGUUUGUCUUGUGUACUUAAGAUAAAUGUUAACAAAUGAAUAGUAUAAUAUCUAUGAUACGAAAGUAUUGGUUUUUUAUGUA